AUCCUGUUGAACUUACUUUAAAUAAAGCUAAUACUAACAAUGACCACUGCCCUUUUCUCGAUCUUGAUAUCUAUAUCACUAAUGGAAAGCUGAAUACUAAAAUUUAUGAUAAAAGGGAUGAUUUUUCAUUUCCUAUCGUUAAUUAUCCGUUUUUAGAUGGUGACGUUCCCUUGUCACCAUCCUACGGUGUUUAUAUAUCUCAACUUGUACGAUUCGCUCGUGUAUGUAACAAUGUUUUAGAUUUUAACGAGAGAAAUUUAUGUAUUACUGAAAAAUUAUUACACCAGGGUUUUCGAUAUCACAAAC
rnacentral:lncRNA from 1 species